GAUGAGCGCUGGCUGCGUGCUUAACACAUGCAAGUCGAACGAAGCACUUUAACUUGAUUUCUUCGGAAAGAUUGUUAUUGUGACUGAGUGGCGGACGGGUGAGUAACGCGUGGGUAACCUGCCUCAUACAGGGGGAUAACAGUUGGAAACGACUGCUAAUACCGCAUAAGCGCACGGUAUCGCAUGAUACAGUGUGAAAAACUCCGGUGGUAUGAGAUGGACCCGCGUCUGAUUAGCUAGUUGUCGAAGUAACGGCCCACCAAGGCAACGAUCAGUAGCCGAACUGGGAGGGUGACCGGACACAUUGGGACGGAGACACGGACCAAACUCCUACGGGAGGCAGCAGUGGGGAAUAUUGCACAAUGGGCGAAAGCCUGAUACAGCGACGCCGCGUGAACGAUGAAGUAUUUAGGUAUGUAAAGUUCUAUCAGCAGGGAAGAAGAAUGACGGUACCUGACUAAGAAGCACCGGCUAAAUACGUGCCAGCCGCCGCCGUAA
rnacentral:rRNA from 1 species